rnacentral:rRNA from 1 species
UACGGAGGGUGCAAGCGUUGUUCGGAAUUACUGGGCGUAAAGCGCACGUAGGCGGGUUUACAAGUCGAUUGUGAAAGCCCCGGGCUCAAUCCGGGAAUGGCAGUCGAAACUGUAAGUCUUGAAUACCUGAGAGGGUGACGGAAUUCCUGGUGUAGAAGUGAAAUUCGUAGAUAUCAGGAGGAACACCGGAGGCGAAGGCGGUUGCCUGGCAGUGUAUUGACGCUGAGGUGCGAAAGCGUGGGGAGCAAAC